rnacentral:lncRNA from 1 species
AUUAUUUCACUUAAUUAUUGCAAUACAAUUAUGAGAAUGCUGUAUUGGUCUCUCCAUUGUACAGAUGAGGAAACUGAGGCUCAGCAAAAAGAAGCAAUGGACUCAGUGCCAGACACUGAAAAAGGAAGACAGCUGAGAUCUUAAAUUCAAAAGUUUUCUCUGCUUCUCAACACUGGGGCAGCUUCUGACUGGCCUUUGCCUAUCUUGUAACUCUCUCUCUCUUUUGUUCUCUCUCUCUCUCUACUGAAAUGAAGGGCAAAAGGUAUGAAGACUCUAAUACCAGAAACAGACAAGAAACCAAGAGAAAACUCUCUCCUGAAGAGGCAACAUUGACAUGAGCACCAUUGUGGAUUUUUUUGAAUCAGUUGAACACUAUGCUUCACCCAGAACAAAGAAACUUUUCACCUUGAACACAAUUCUGAUGCACACGUCAAUUGAUUCAUUUAUGCAACCAUUUUUACCAUCGGUGCACUCUGCCAGAGAAACCAUAGACUAGAGUUGGAAUCUUACUUCUCCAAAGGGUGCAGGCAGCCAAGCUCUAUGUCCUCAGAUGCCUUAUUUUAUAUUUCUGCUCUCCAGUGGGUGAGGUUGAACGGAUGACUUCUCCCCUGGCCAGAAAUACAGGGUUCCUAUCCUCCCUAUCCCCUGCCUGUGUCUGGGCUGAAGAGAUCUCAGUCAUGUGGGUGUGUUUCUAUCUCAUUUCAUCUAAAGAGAAGGUUGAGGCAGCUUCCUGGAGCUGAACUGUGUACCCCACGUAUUUGUCUGGAUAGCACUUGAAAUAGAUUUGCAUUUCCAGAGUUAGGGUAUCUUUCUUUCGCUCUUUUUUUAAAGUUUUUAUUUUGUAUUGGAAUAUAGCCAAUUAACAAUGUCAUGAUAGUUUCAGGUGGACAGCAAAGGGACCCAGCCAUACGUAUACAUGUAUCCAUUCUCUCCCAAACUUCCUUCCCAUCUAGGCUGCCACAUCACAUUGAGCAGACCUAUUUGGGUAGUAGAGGGCAUCUUUCUUUUUUGGUGACUAUGUGAGUCUCUCAAAGACCAGUCCUCUUCACUUGUCUAUAAAGUGGUAAAUUCACAUCAGAUCCUGCAGUUGCCAGGAGAGAUAUUGAAUUGUCUCAAUUGGCAAGAAAACAUCGUGGACACUCUACACUAUCAUCCCCUGCCUCCAUCUCACUCUACAUUCAAUUACAGAAAUGUCAAGGUGGUCAAGUAUCUCUUUCCCCAGCUGAUCCCAACAACUAUCAAUUUACACACUGCAAGAUUCCAUCAGAGCUGGGCUGGGUGUUUUGUCUUCAGGACCCCUUCGAAUAUGCUCAUCCCUCUCUAAUUAGUUAAAGAUUCUCCUAUACUCCUGAAGAUCAUCCCUUGAGCUGAAAAGGAUGCAUUUUUCAAUUUCCUCCUGCAAAUUAAUGUGGGGCAUGCUUUUCUGAAAAUACCAGAUAAGGGAAAUGUGCACAGCUCUGGGACUGAGUUUUUCCCCUUUGCCACUCUGGAGAUGU